AGUACGUGUGUGGUCUGUAUUAAGCCCUGCGAAACAAAUAUCAACUACUUCUAUUCCAUAAACCAUGUGUUUGUAUCAUCAUUCUCUCGAUUAACCAUCACGAGAAAAGGUAUAAGAAAAUGGAGUGUUGUUAUUCCUUCAAACAAUCAUCGCCAUACCCUUCUUCCUUUAUCCUUAAUCUUCAGGGUUCUUCAUCAUCUAUUGUUGGCAAAUUAUCCAGACAUUCUCCUUGUUUGUUGUCUUCUCCACUUUCUAAACCUUUUCUUCAGAUUAAUGAUAGAUUGCAGUAUCAAAAAAAGUCAACUUUUUUCACUUGGAAAACAUAUAGAGGGCCCGUAGUAGCAGAAACUGGAAGGCAAGGUUGGGACUUUGGCAGAUUUAUUAAAACAUUAUAUUUCUUCAAUGGACCUCCAUCUCCUGCUAAGUUUUUUGAGCUUCUAGUUGGGAGACUAUCCAGUCAAUCCUCUAGUGAACCAAAAAGUGCGAUGGACAGUUCUGGCAUUGUCCUGGUAGUUGGAGCUACAGGUGGUGUUGGCAAAAGAAUAGUUGAUAUCUUACGAAAGAAAGGACAGCAAGUACGAGUACUGGUCAGAAAUGAAGAGAAGGCAAGAAAGAUGUUGGGCUCAGAUAUUGACUUGAUAGUUGGAGAUAUCACUAAGGAAAGCACAUUGGUCCCUGAGUAUUUCAAAGGGGUCAAGAAAGUUUUUAAUGCUGCUUCUGUCAUUGUUGGUCCCAAGGAAGGUGAUACUCCUGAAAGGGCAAAAUACAGCCAAGGAAUCAAGUUCUUUGAACCAGAGAUCAAAGGGGAUUCACCUGAAAUGGUGGAGUAUGUUGGGAUGGAGAAUUUGAUUAACGCUGUUAAGGGAAGUGUUGGACUUCGAGGCGGGAAACUGUUAUUUGGAUGUGAAGACAAUAGUUUUAAAGAUCUACCUUGGGGUGCUUUAGAUGAUGUUGUAAUGGGAGGUGUUAGUGAAAGUAAUUUUCAAAUUGACACAAAUGGAGGAGAAAAUGGUGGACCAACUGGGAUUUUCAGAGGUGUUGUUUCCACUGCAAAUAAUGGUGGCUUCACUAGUAUCAGAACUAGGAAUUUUUCAACACCUGAGGACCUUUCUGCAUAUGAUGGUUUGGAACUGUGCCUUAAAGGUGAUGGUCGAAGGUAUAAACUUAUUGUUCGUACCAGCAGUGAUUGGGACACUGUUGGUUAUACAGCAAGCUUUGACACUGUUGAAGGAUGGCAAUCAAUACGCCUGCCAUUUUCUUCUUUGAGGCCAAUUUUUCGAGCUCGGACUGUUUCAGAUGCUCCUCCAUUUGAUCAAAGCAAUAUUGUAUCACUGCAGCUCAUGUUCAGCAAGUUUGAGUAUGAUGGAAAGCUGAAUCCAACUUUUGUGGAGGGUCCAUUUCAGCUUCCAUUAUCAAGCAUCAGGGCCUAUAUAAAUGAUCCUAUAACUCCCAGGUUUGUGCAUGUGAGCUCUGCAGGCGUAACCCGACCUGAUAGGCCGGGCCUUGAUCUCAGUAAACAACCUCCUGCUGUACGCUUGAACAAGGAAUUGGGUUUUAUCCUAACUUUCAAGUUGAAGGGAGAAGACUUGAUACGUGAAAGUGGCAUGCCAUAUGCAAUUGUCAGGCCUUGUGCUUUAACUGAGGAGCCUGCUGGAGCAGAUCUCAUUUUUGACCAAGGAGAUAAUAUAACAGGUAAAAUAUCAAGGGAAGAGGUUGCUCGAAUAUGCGUUGCUGCUGCAGAAAGCCCAUAUGCAUGUGACAAGACAUUUGAGGUUAAAAGUGUGAUUCCAUUUAGUGAACCAUUCACAGUGGACCCUGAAAACCCACCUCCAGAGAAGGAUUACAACGAGUAUUUUAAAACUUUGAAGGAUGGCAUUACAGGGAAAGAAUACCUAGAACGUAGUCCUGUUCCAGUCUAAUGCCCACAUAUAACAGAUAUAUGAUUCAAGAAGAAAAGACGUUGAUGCUGAAUAAAAUUCUGAUUGUGAAUUAUUUGACGAACCGGCAAAAAUCUUGGGUGGCAGCCUUUGCAAUGGUGAUCAAUGGAAAAAAAUCAUACCCCUACAAUUACAAAACAGGCUUGUAGAGAAAUCAUUAGACUGCUUAGCAAGAAAGAGAUACCAGGGAAGCAAUUAGUGAUCGAUGUUGGAUUGUAAAGAUAAAUGACUGCUCAGAAACUCAGCUUUUGUAUAUUUUAAAGCUGUACAUAUACAAAAUUUCUUGUCCCAUUUCAUCUGAUAAUUUGAAAUCUUGAAUUUUAUUUUCUC